rnacentral:rRNA from 1 species
CCUGAACGCUGGCGGCGUGGCUAAGACAUGCAAGUCGCACGGUGUAGCAAUACACAGUGGCGAACGGGUGAGUAAUGAAUCGCUAAUGUACCCUGGACUCUGGGAUAGCUGGCCGAAAGGCCAGGUAAUACCAGAUGAGACCACGAACAGGCAUCUGUUUGUGCUCAAAGGUCCGCCGGUCUGGGAGCAGGCGAUUUCGUAUCAGCAGUUGGUGAGGUAACGGCUCACCAAGGCGACGACGCGUAGCCGGACUGAGAGGUUGGCCGGCCACAUCGGGACUGAGACACUGCCCCGGGACU